rnacentral:lncRNA from 1 species
AACAACACCAGUCAAUACACCUACACCAAUCACACUUCUUUUUCCUUUUCAUUUCAGUGCACUGAAUUCACUCACCAUAGCUACUUAUUUUCUCUCAAUCUGUUAGGGUUUCUUUUAAUUUUAGGCUUUCAAUACAGUUUCCUUUUAAACUGGAAGGAGUUGAAAGAUAAAGGAAACAAAGAGGGAGUAAGGCUGUUCGCUGAAAUAAAGAGAUAAAAAAAAAGGUUGAAGAAGAUGAUUUUCAGGUUUUUUUUACGGUAAGGUGUUCCACGAGCACCUUCUUGGAAUUAACUGUGUUAAAUGGAGCUCCUUCCUUUUCACUGUUUACUUGGCAUAUUGGUUGGUUACAAUGUAUAACUCUCUCUUUAGUGUAAUUUCUUUGCUUUGAUUAUAGUAAUUUGUCUAACCGGGUUGUCACUUGGCUACAACUUUUGGAAUCCAUGGUUUAUUGUGUGAGUGGUUUCGAUGAAGCUGUGGGGAGUUUGCGAUUUCAUCUGUUUUAAUUUUAUCUACAUUUUGAGUUAUUAACUCUCAUCUUUACACAUUUUAUAUGCUUCCUUUCAAGCGUAGAGAUCCCCAAGUUUGUUGACACAGGCACUCCUCAAUUCAAACCGAAAUUUGAUGCAUUGGUGAGAAUCAACAGAAUUCUUGAUCCUCUUUUACUUGUCUCAGUGGUUUUGGUUUUCUUUUUCAUCAUCUGAUUUGGUUAUUACUUGUGGUUAAUAGUUGGUUGAAUUGAAAUAAUCAGAGGAGAAAUCUUUGAAAGAGUCCGAGCGUUUGGAGAAAGAAAUUGCCGACGUUCAGGAACUGAAGG